CAACCCCAUGUCAGGCAGGAUUACCCGUUGAGUUUAAGCAUAUCAAUAAGCUAAGAAAAAGAAACUUACAAGGAUUCCCUUAGUAAGAGUGAGCAAAAAGAGAAUAGCGCAGCCUUAGAAUCGAGCAUCUCUGUCGUCUGAAUUAUAGUCUGGAGAAGCGUCCUCAGUGGCGAACCGGGCCCAAGUCCCCUGGAAAUGGACGUCAGAGAUGGUAAGGGCCCCAUUAUGCCUAGACCCUAUCGCACCAUGAGGCGCUAUCUACCAGUCGGGUUGUUUGGCAAUGCAUCCCAAAUCAAGUGAUGAAUUUUGUCUAAGCCUAAAUACGGGUGAGAGAUCGAUAGCAAACAAGUACCGCAAGGGAAAGUGAAAAGGACUUUGAAAAGAGAUUCAAAGAAUGCUUGAAAUUAUUAGGAGGGAAGUGGAUGAGGGUCAGUGAUGAGCCCCGGUCAGCUAUGGAACGGCGACAAGCUGAUCUGCCCAUCGACUUAGGGCAUGGACCAACAUCAAUUUGGGGCAUUGCAAAAGCCCAGGCUCUCAAUAUGAUCGUGGAACGUCGUCUCCUCAAUUAUGGAAGGUAGUGCGUACCUCUACCAUGCUUCAGAAUUUUUGUAUUUCGGACACUGGCCUGUAGGUUCCCCAUUCGACCCGUCUUAAAACACGGAUUAAGGAGUCUGCCAUGUGUGCGAGUCAAUGAGCGAGUAAACCCGUAAGGCUUAAGGAAGUUGAUUGGUGGGAUCCCUCAAAGGGAUGCACCAUCAACCGACCUUGAUAUUCUAAGAAGGGUUCGAGUGUGAGCAUACUUGUCGGGACCUGAAAUAUGGUAAACUAUACCUGAGCGGGGCAAAGCCAGAGGAAAUUCUGGUAGAGAACCGCAGCGAUACUGACGUGCAAAUUUUUUAUCUUACUUGAGUAUAGGGGUAAAAGUCUAAUCAAACCGUCUAGUAGCUGGUUCCCUCUGAAUUUUCAUUCAGGAUAGCUGGAGCUCGCGUGAGAGUUCUCUUAGGUAAAGCCAAUAAUUAGAGUCCUUAGGGGCGCAAUGCAUUCGACUUAUUCUCAAACUUAAAAUAGGUAGGACGGCGUAGCUGCUUUGUUGAGCCGUACCUAGGUAUCAAGAGCUCUAAGUAGGCCAUUUUUUAUUAGUAGAACCGGCGAUGCGUGAUGAAACGGAAGCCGGGUUACGAUGCAAAACUUUAUGCUAAUCUGGAUCCCACAAAGGGUGGUGGUCGAUUAAGACAGUAGGACAGUGUUUAUGUAAGUCAAAAUCCUCCAAGGAGUGUGAAACAACUCACCUGUAGAAUCAACUAGACCCAAAAAUAGAUGGCGUUUAAGCACGUGACCUACACCCGAUCAUAGGGGCAAGUGCCAGGCCCUGAUAAUUAGAAAGGUACGGCAGUCGCUGCAAAACCUUAGGUGCGAGCCCAAGUGCUAGUGGUUGUCAGUGCAAAUCAUGGUGGUAGUAGAAAAUAUUCAAAUGAGAACUCUGAAUGCCAAAGAGCGGAAAGGUUCCAUGUUAACAGCACUUGCACAUGGGUUAGUCUAUCCUAAGGGUCGGGGAAACCCUUAUAGAUAGCGCGUUUUGUGCGUACUCCAAAAGGGAUUCGGAUUAAAAUUCCUAAACCAGGACGUAGUGGUCGAAGGCAAUGUUAGAAAGUCUGGAGAUGUCGGUGGGAGCCUCGGGAAGAGUUAUCUUUUCUAUUUAAUAUCCUGCCAACCCUGAAAUCGGUUUAGUCGGAGGUAGGGUCUAGUGACUGGAAGAGCACCACACGUCAUGUAGUGUCCGGUGCGCUCCUAGUGGCCCUUGAAAAUCUGGAGGACUGAAUGUCUUCCACCCCUGGUCAUACUCGUAACCGCAUCAGGUCUCCAAGGUAAACAACCUCUAGUCGAUGGUAUAAUAUAGGCAAGGGUAGUCGGCAAAAUAGAUCUGUAACUUUGGGAAAAGAAUUGGCUCUGAGGGAUAGGAACAAGGGUCCCAGUCCUGAACCCAUCGGCUAUUAGUGGACUGCUAAAGCUGCUUCUGCGGCGAGAAUGGGUCACCACGGGCCGGCCGGGGGACGGACUAGGAAUGGUUCCUUCGGGGGCCUUCUCCGUGCGUCGAACAGCCAACUCAGAACUGGUAUGAACAAGGGAAAUCCUAGUGUUUAAUUAAAAUAAAGCAUUGCAAUGGUCCCAACGGAUGUUCAUGCAAUGUGAUUUCUGCCCCAGUUCUCUGAAUGUCAAAGUGAAGAAAUUCAAACAACCACGGGUAAACGGCAAGAGUAACUAUGACUCACUUAAGGUAGCCAAAUGCCUCUUCAUCUAAUUGGUGACGCACAUGAAUGGAUUAUCGACUUUCCACUGUCCCUAUGUACUAUCCAGCAAAACCACGACCAAGGGAAUGGGUUUGGCAGAAUAAGUGGGGAAAGAAGACCCUGUUGAGCUUGACUCUAGUCCAACUUUGUGAAAUGACUCAAGAGGUGUAGUAUAAGUGGGAUCCGAUAGGCGAAAGUGAAAUACCUCUACUUUUAAUGUUAUUUUACUUAUUUCGUGAAUCUAAAGUGGGGCAUUGCCCCUCUUUUUGUACCCAAGGCUCGCUCUGUAGGCCAAUCUAGGUAGAUGACAUUGUUAAGUGGGGAGUUUGGCUAGGGAGGCACAUCUGUUAAAAGAUAACAUAGGUAUCCUAAGAUGAGCUCAACGAGAACAGAAAUCUCGUGUGAGAUAGAAGCGUAAAAGCUCUUUUGAUUCUGAGUUCCAGUGCGAAUAUGAAUCAUGAAAUUAUGUCCUAAUGAUUCUUUAGACCUUCAAAAUUUGAAGCUAGAGAUAUUAGAAAAGUUACCACCGGGAUAACUGGUUUGUGGCAGCUAAGAAUUCAUAGCGACAUUUCCUUUUUAUCCUUAGAUGUCAGCUCUUCCUAUCAUUGUGAAGCAAAACUCACCAAGUGUUGGAUUGUUCACCCACCAAUAGGGAACGUGAGCUGGGUUUAGACCAUCGUGAGAUAGGUUAGUAUUACCCUACUGAUGAUAGUGUCACAAUAGUAAUUCAACCAAGUAUAAGAGGAACUGUUGAUUCACACAAUUGGUCAUCUUGAUUGCCUGAAAAGCCAGUGGUGCGAAGCUACCGUGUGCUGGAUAAUGACUGAACGCCUCAAAGUAAGAAUUAAGGCUUGAAGUGAUGCAUGCAUCUGCCGUCCACUUUUUGAUCCAUAGUAGGGGCCUCGGCCCCCAAGGGCACGUGUCGUUGCCUAAGCCAUCGCGGUGAAAGGGUCACAGUGGCUGUCUUGAAGUACAAUUUCCAUCAAACAGCGAGUAGAAUCCUUUGUAGAAGACUUAAAUACGUGACAGGGUAUUGUAAGUGGCAGAGUGGCCUUGCUGUAAUGAUCCAUUAAGAUUCAGUCCUUUGUCGCUCCUGUUCGU
rfam:Capsicum annuum cultivar Zunla-1 chromosome 2, whole genome shotgun sequence